AACGAACGCUGGCGGCAGGCUUAACACAUGCAAGUCGAGCGCCCCGCAAGGGGAGCGGCAGACGGGUGAGUAACGCGUGGGAAUCUACCCAUCUCUACGGAAUAACGCAUGGAAACGUGUGCUAAUACCGUAUACGUCCUUCGGGAGAAAGAUUUAUCGGAGAUGGAUGAGCCCGCGUUGGAUUAGCUAGUUGGUGGGGUAAAGGCCUACCAAGGCGACGAUCCAUAGCUGGUCUGAGAGGAUGAUCAGCCACACGGGGACUGAGACACGGCCGAGACUCCUACGGGAGGCAGCAGUGGGGAAGAUUGGACAAUGGGCGCAAGCCUGAUCCAGCCAUGCCGCGUGAGGGAUGAAGGCCCGAGGGUUGUAAAGCUCUUUCACCGGUGAAGAUAAUGACGGUAACCGGAGAAGAAGCCCCGGCUAACUUCGUGCCAGCCGCCGCCGUAAUAC
rnacentral:rRNA from 1 species